rnacentral:rRNA from 1 species
CAGUCGCCGCGGUAAUACAGAGGGUGCGAGCGUUAAUCGGAUUUACUGGGCGUAAAGCGUGCGUAGGCGGCUUCUUAAGUCGGAUGUGAAAUCCCUGAGCUUAACUUAGGAAUUGCAUUCGAUACUGGGAAGCUAGAGUAUGGGAGAGGAUGGUAGAAUUCCAGGUGUAGCGGUGAAAUGCGUAGAGAUCUGGAGGAAUACCGAUGGCGAAGGCAGCAAUCUGGCCUAAUACUGACGCUGAGGUACGAAAGCAUGGGGAGCAAACAGGAUUAGAUACCCGCGUAGUCCCUGUCUCUUAUAA